CCAAAAAAGAACGUGUGGGCUAUACUUCAUUGGGUCAAGAGAGAGAUUUAGUAGUGUUGGGGUACAGGUAUGCUACACCAUUUGUAAGGGAGAGACAUCCCUCUUCUAUAUUGGGUGUGUUAGCAACUUUGUUGGGCAAGAAAAUGAGUUUCGUAAGUUUCUCUUAUUUUGUUAGUCAAAAGAUAAUGAUUCUACAAUGUACAAAGGAUUUAUACUGGUUUGGAUUAUAGCCUACGGCCAGUUCGAAGACAGGGAGGCAAUCAACAAAUAACAAAAGGAGAUUACAAGGAAGUGUUUAAACUCUCACAACCCAAAAUUCACAUACAUCCAAUGCCACUCUCACACCAAAUGAGCAUCAUUUUUUUGUUUUGAACAUUUUUCUUGGCUCAUUUGGUGUGAGAAUGGCUUUGGAUGUAUAUGGGUUUUGGGUUGUGAGAGGAGAUGGCUUUGGAUGUAUAUGGGAUUUGGGUUGUGAGAGGAGAAACACUUCUUUGUAAUCUCCAUUGGUUAUUAGUGGAUUUACUCGCCGUCUUCUAACUAAACGUAGGCUAUAAGUCGAACCAGUAUAAAUCCUUUAUGCUUUGUUAGAUUUUUGUAUUUGUCAUAUCUUGUCUUAUUGCUUUUUAUAUCUGUCUCAUAUACAUAACUUUAUACUUCGCAUAUAACAAGUGGCCACCAUAUCUACUAUAGUAGAAAUUUCUCUCUUAAGUUGGGGAAAGGAAGAGAUUAAGGCUCUUUACUUUUGCUACUAGCGGGGUGGGCUCUUUGCUUUUGCUACUAGCGUGGUGGCGCAACAAAUCUGGAAGAGAAAUAAAGGAAUGACAAUCACCUAUUUGAAGAUGAAGCUCUUAUAUGACCUUGGUGGGUUAAAUCCUUUUUGGAAGUGUGGUAAGCUUCUCUUUAUCAGCACAAGAUGUUGAGAGAGAACCACCAAUUUUUGAGAGAUCAAAGCUCUUUGUAUUUCUGUGUAGGUUGAUGCAACUUUAUGUAAGAGAAAGUAUCUCUUCUUUGGCUUGUUGCACAACAAUUGCACUUUUAGCUUGGUUCUCCUUGUUCCUUGUGUUUGUAGUAAUUUUAUCUCUUUGUUUAAUAUCUCUCUUUUGGUCUCUUUUCUAGAGUAGGAAUCUGAUCUUGGCUCAUCUGUAUAUGUAUCUGUGAGUGUGAGAUUGGGUGUAA